rnacentral:rRNA from 1 species
UACGGAGGGUGCAAGCGUUGUUCGGAAUCACUGGGCGUAAAGGGCGUGUAGGCGGUCUAUCAAGUCUGGUGUGAAAUCCCCUCGCUCAACGAGGGAACUGCGCCGGAAACUGACAGACUAGAGUACCGGAGAGGAAGGUGGAAUUCCCGGUGUAGCGGUGAAAUGCGUAGAUAUUGGGAGGAACACCAGUGGCGAAGGCGGCUCACUGGACCGGUACUGACGCUGAUGCGCGAAAGCGUGGGGAGCAAACAGG